UUGAUUUAACUCUGGGGAUUUUGCUGUGUACAUAAUGAGAAACAACUUGUUUCUAAGUUGGUGAUAAAUGCUCUUAUCAUACUCUAAUCACAGAAGUAACAAGAAAAGUGCGUGACAAAUCUUUAGAUAUAAACUGUAAAUAUGGAAAACAAUAUGUAAACAAUGUUUGUGUGGAUCUUGCAUUAAAAUAUUAAUAUGAGCAAACUUGGUCAUAUAAUUUUAGAAUGGCAUGAUGAUAAUAAACUAAACAAUAAAUGUGAAUCAAAAACGAUUAAACACAACGUUAAACGUUAAACACAAAAUUCUGCAGGUCCUAGAAUGAGUGAAGAUAGAGUGUAGUCAGGCAACUAGCCUAUUGUUUACAAAUCCAAUACACUUUCAACAUUUUACAGAAAUGACAAAAAUAUUUAAAAUAUAAAAGUGUAGUAAUAUCAUUACUAUGUAUACUAUUCAGCAGCUAUUAUUCUUAAACUAUACACAUGUAACUGAUGGUAGCAUAAAUAUCAAACAUAUAAUAUAUGGCUCAGGGUAAUAUCAAUCCUGUUUUCAUCAUGCUUGUAGAGGUACCUACACUGUUUAAUAGUUUGGAAAGAUUGUAAUGUUUUGAAAUACAAAGCACAAUGUCUGUUAAUAAGACAAUUCCAAUUAAAUAUUGUUAAUCUGUCGUUUUUAUGUCUAAGGGGAUGCUGGGGUGCUCUAUUUAAGUAAAGCACAAUUCAUACAAAAACAUCAGUGUUAUACUGUUGUCAUGUAUCCUGCGCCUGCUGUUUACGUCUACUCACCACCAGAGGUCACCCGUUCACCAUUAAGACUUUUUCAAGGCACACACAGUUACAGGUUUCUUCGGACUACAUUUCCCAUGUUCCAUUGCCCUAAUCACUUCCACACCUGUAGUCUAUCACAGGGACUAUAAAGCACUGACUCGCAAGCUCACCGACUGCUGAGUAUUGUUAGCAUUUCUCACUGUCUAGCUGAUAGCAACUUUAUGGAGCCUAUCCUAGUGUUCAUAGUCUAGUCUAGUCUAGUCUAGUCUAGUCUUGCUUUUGGUUGUUUGCCCUGUGUUUUGAUCCUUGCCUGGUUUCCCAUGUUUUUGCCUAUCCUCUGCCUUCCCUGGAUUCUUGCUUGCUUUGGAUUACUUUUCUCGUCUUGCCCUGUUAGGAUACUGUUUGCCCCAUGCCUGGACCCUAGCCUGGAUAUCUGGAUUACCCUCUAGCCUUGCCUUUUGGAUUACAUUCUUCGGUUGUUGACCCUCACCUGUUCCUGGGAUGCUCUUUGUCUUGCCCAAAUCAUGCCUGUUUGACUCUGUUUGACCCCUGCCUGUUCUGAACAUGUUUUUGUAAAUUAAAAGCUUUUGCAUAUGGAUCCGCACGCCUCUUGUCACAGUCCCUCUGUAAUUGUGAUGCACUCUCAGCUGAUGAACUCUCGUCCUGUCCUGAAUCAGCCAUGGAGGCUGUUUGUGAACAUUCAUCUUGUCUUGAACCGGCCGAGGAUGCCAUCUAUGAACUGCCAACCUGUUCUGGACUGGCCAAGCAGGCCAUCUAUGAACUCCCGCCCAGUCCUGAACCAACCACAGAGGUCUCAGUCUUUGCCAUGGGUCCCUGAUCCGUCUGCUCUGCCGGGGUGGUAUUCUGCCCUGCUCUGGUGGUCUUCUGCUCUGCUGUGGUGAUUUUCUACGUCAUUUGCUCUGCCGUGGUGGUCUUCAGUCCCGCUCUGGUCUUACAUCACACCUGCUCCAUUGAGGUGCUCUUCAGCCUCGACUGCACUGCUGUGGUGGUCAUCUGCUCCGCCGCAGAGGUCUUCAGCCCUGACUGCACUGCUGUGGAGGUCAUCUGCUCUGCCAUGGAGGUUUUCAAGCCCGUCCCAGGGGGGCACUCUGUCACGUAUUCUGCGCCUGCUGUUUACGUCUACUCACCACCAGAGGUCACCCGUUCACCAUUAAGACUUUUUCAAGGCACACACAGUUACAGGUUAAUUCGGACUACAUUUCCCAUGUUCCAUUGCCCUAAUCAUUCCACACCUGUAGUCUAUCACAGGGACUAUAAAGCACUGACUCACAAGCUCACCGGCUGCCAAGUAUUGUUAGCAUUUAUCACUGUCUAGCAGAUAGCAACUUUACAGAGUCUAGUCUAGUCUAGUCUAGUCUAGUCGCCCUGUGUUUUGAUCCUUGCCUGGUUUCCCAUGGACCCUAGCCUGGAUAUUUGGAUUACCCUCUAGCCUUGCCCUUUGGAUUACGUUCUUCGGUUGUUGACCCUCGCCUGUGCCUGGAAUGCUUUGUCUUGCCCAAAUCAUGCCUGUUUGACUCCGUUUGACCCCUGCCUGUUCUUAACAUGUUUUUGUAAAUUAAAAGCUCUUUCAUAUGGA